AAAAAGGUAAGCUAACCCAAGCUUUCGGGUUCAUACCCCGGCCAUAAAGAAGAACUUUCCUUUUUAA
rnacentral:tRNA from 1 species